rnacentral:rRNA from 1 species
AUUGAACGCUGGCGGCAGGCCUAACACAUGCAAGUAGAGCGAGCGGCGGACGGGUGAGUAAUGCCUGGGAAUUGCCCAGUCGAGGGGGAUAACAGUUGGAAAGGACUGCUACUACCGCAUACGAUUGGAAUUCCCAGGUGGGAUUAGCUAGUUGGUGAGGUAAUGGCUCAACAAGGCGACGAUCCCUAGCUGGUCUGAGAAGAUGAGCAGCCACACUGGAACUGAGACACGGGCCUGACUCGUACGGGAGGAAGCAGUGGGGAAUAUUGCACAAUUGGGGAAACCCUGAUGCAGUCAUGCAGCGUGUGUGAAGAAGGCAUUCGGGUUGUAAAGCACUUUCAGCGAGGAGGCGUUACUCGCAGAAGAAGCACCGGCGAACUCCGUGCCAGCAGCCGCGGUAAUAC